rnacentral:rRNA from 1 species
GAUGAACGCUGGCUAUAGGCUUAACACAUGCAAGUCGAGGGGAAACGACGGGGAAGCUUGCUUCCCCGGGCGUCGACCAGCGCACGGGUGAGUAACGCGUAUCCAACCUGCCUCUGACUGAGGGAUAACCCGUCGAAAGUCGGCCUAAUACCUCAUGGCAUCGUCUGCGGGCAUCCAACGACGAUUAAAGAUUUCAUCGGUCAGAGAUGGGGAUGCGUCUGAUUAGCUUGUUGGCGGGGUAACGGCCCACCAAGGCGACGAUCAGUAGGGGUUCUGAGAGGAAGGUCCCCCACAUUGGAACUGAGACACGGUCCAAACUCCUACGGGAGGCAGCAGUGAGGAAUAUUGGUCAAUGGGCGAGAGCCUGAACCAGCCAAGUAGCGUGCAGGAUGACGGCCCUAUGGGUUGUAAACUGCUUUUAUGCGGGGAUAAAGUGAGGGACGUGUCCUUCAUUGCAGGUACCGCAUGAAUAAGGACCGGCUAAUUCCGUG